rnacentral:rRNA from 1 species
UAGCAUAUCAAUAAGCGGAGGAAAAGAAACCAACAGGGAUUGCCUCAGUAACGGCGAGUGAAGCGGCAACAGCUCAAAUUUGAAAUCUGGCCUCUUCGGGGUCCGAGUUGUAAUUUGGAGAGGAUGCUUCGGGCGUGGCACCGGUCUAAGUUCCUUGGAACAGGACGUCACAGAGGGUGAGAAUCCCGUAUGUGAUCGGCCGCCUUCGUCCAUGUGAAGCUCCUUCGACGAGUCGAGUUGUUUGGGAAUGCAGCUCAAAAUGGGUGGUAAAUUUCAUCUAAAGCUAAAUAUUGGCCAGAGACCGAUAGCGCACAAGUAGAGUGAUCGAAAGAUGAAAAGCACUUUGGAAAGAGAGUUAAAAAGUACGUGAAAUUGUUGAAAGGGAAGCGCUUGCAACCAGACUUGCUCGCAGUUGCUCAGCCGGUGUUCUCACCGGUGUACUCUUCUGCGGUCAGGCCAGCAUCAGUUCGGGCGGCCGGAUAAAGGUCGCGGGAAUGUGGCUCCUCUCGGGGAGUGUUAUAGCCCGCGGCGCCAUGCGGCCAGCCUGGACUGAGGUCCGCGCUUCGGCUAGGAUGCUGGCGUAAUGGUUGUAAGCGACCCGUCUUGAAACACGGACCAAGGAGUCUAACAUCUAUGCGAGUGUUUGGGUGUCAAACCCAUACGCGUAAUGAAAGUGAACGGAGGUGAGAACCCGUACGGGUGCAUCAUCGACCGAUCCUGAUGUCUUCGGAUGGAUUUGAGUAAGAGCAUAGCUGUUGGGACCCGAAAGAUGGUGAACUAUGCCUGAAUAGGGUGAAGCCAGAGGAAGACUCUGGUGGAGGCUCGCAGCGGUUCUGACGUGCAAAUCGAUCGUCAAAUUUGGGUAUAGGGGCGAAAGACUAAUCGA